rnacentral:tRNA from 1 species
GCCCCCGUAGCUCAGAGAUAGAGCAACGGCGUCGCAGCUGUAGGUCGCAGGUUCGAGUCCUGCCGGGGGUA